CUUCUUCCCGAGUCCACUCCUAAUUCCAGAAUCAGUCACUCUCACUCCACACCGUCCGUCCCUCGAGCCCAACUCUCAGUCAUCUUCUCCUCCGUCGCCGCGACCAACACGACGGCACCACCCAUCCUCUUCGACGACAUCCCGCUGGCUCGAUUCUCUCAUCUUCAACAACCUUCACUUAUGUUUCUUGCCCAUUCGCAACCUAUACGAUCCGUACCUUUCUUCCACCCAAAGUCUAAUUCUCCGAUCUCACAUCGUCGUCGUAAACCCACCAGCCAAACUGCCCGUCCGCUCGCCCGCCAUGAGCACUCCAUCACUCUCAUGGAUGUUGCAGAGCGCAGGUGUGUUCUCUGGAUUCACACAACUAUGCAAGGGCUUAUUGGUGGUGCUUAUUGGAGGCCACAUUGUAGUUCAGCUUCUCUCUCAUGCUUAGCGGUGGUAUUUUUCACUCGGUUUGGGCACAUUCAUUGCCUAAUUUUUGGUUUGUUGACUUGUGAAUUGAAAAUUUACUAAAAUGAAUUGCAAAAUAUUGCAUAAAUUUGUGUUUAUAGUAAUGGGUUUUAUGAAAAAUAUGUGAAAUUUAGUGUUUUGAACCGUUUGGUUUUGUGGGGUUAAUCUGAAAGUUAGCUCCGGUUUUUUGCCUUUCUUGAGUGGAAUUGGGAGUUGUAGCAGAGGUGAUAAUGUUGACCCUUUGUUUGUUAAAUGUUUGUAUUACAAAGGAUGAAGUAUAUGGUUGGUAUUGGA